rnacentral:rRNA from 1 species
AUUGAACGCUGGCGGCAGGCCUAACACAUGCAAGUCGAACGAGUGGCGGACGGGUGAUUAAUGUCCGGGCAACUGCCUGAUGGAUGGGGAUAAAUACUGGAAACUGUAGCUAAUACCGCAUCCCAUCGGAUGUGCCCAGAUGGGAUUAUCUAGGGGGUAGGGUCAAGGCUCACCUAGGCGACGAUCCCUAGCUGGUCUGAGAGGAUGACCAGCCACACUGGGACGGAGACACGGUCCAGACUCCUACGGGAGGCAGCAGUGGGGAAUAGGGCACAAUGGGCGCAAGCCUGAUGCAGCCAUGCCGCGUGUGUGAAGAAGGCCUUCGGGUUGGAAAGUACGUUCAGCGGGGAGGCGUUACCCGCAGAAGAAGCACCGGCUAACUCCGUGCCAGCAGCCGCGGUAAUAC